ensembl:snRNA U6 U6 spliceosomal RNA
GUGUUUGUUUCCACAGCAUGUGUGCUAAAACUGAACCACACUAGAAGAUUAUCAUGGCUCCAUGCAAGGGUGACAUGAAAAUCUGUGAAACAUUCCAUAUUUUU